rnacentral:ncRNA from 1 species
UUUUUGAUCCUUCGAUGUCUGCUCUCACAAUAGGAGGAGCAGAAUUUUGUAAGCGUUGGAUUGUUCACCCCCCUAUAGAGAGAGAACGUGAGCUGGGUUUAGACCGUCGUGAGACAGGUUAGUUUUACCCUACUGAUGAAGGUCGCCGCAACGGUAAUUCAAUUUAUUACGAGAGGAACCGUUGAUUCAGAUAAUUGGUUUUUGCGGCUGUUUGACCAGGCAGUGCCGCGACGCUACCAUCUGCCGGAUUAUGGCUGAACGCCUCUAAGUCAGAAUCCGUGCCGGAACGCGGCGAUGUCGCCCCGCACGUCGUAGUUGGAUACGAAUAGGCCUCCGGGUCCAGAACCUCAGCAGGCCGGCGAUGGUGUUCCGGGGAGAGACCCCCGGGGACCCGCCGGCGGAUUGCAAUGUCACCACGCGCGGGGAUAGAUCCUCUGCAGACGACUGAAAUGACCAAGCGGGUCGUGUAAGCGGUCAAGUAGCCUUGUUGCUACGAGUCGCUGAGCGUCAGCCCGAUCCUUGGCUCGAUUUGU